UACGAAGGGGGCUAGCGUUGCUCGGAAUCACUGGGCGUAAAGGGCGCGUAGGCGGAUCUUUAAGUCGGGGGUGAAAGCCUGAGGCUCAACCUCAGAAUUGCCCUUCGAUACUGGAGAUCUUGAGACCGGAAGAGGUAAGUGGAACUGCGAGUGUAGAGGUGAAAUUCGUAGAUAUUCGCAAGAACACCAGUGGCGAAGGCGGCUUACUGGUCCGGUUCUGGACGCUGAGGCGCGAAAGCGUGGGGAGCAAACAGG
rnacentral:rRNA from 1 species